CUGCUAACAUUAAAAACGGAACCACAGAUUAAUUACAAAGUUUACGUAAGUGUGAUAUCAUGUUAUGAUGACUCUUUUUUUAAGUGAUAACUUUUAAUUUAGAACUGGUGCGUGCUGCUCCGUUAUAGAACAGUCUCACGUCAAGACAGACUCUCAAAGUAAAAUAAAAAUAAACCCUACCAGCUCCACUGAGAAGAAGGAAAAAAACCUAAACAGUCAUCCACUUGUGAUUUCCAAAGUCUGCUCCACCAAAAAAAAA